rnacentral:rRNA from 1 species
AAACCAACCGGGAUUACCUUAGUAACGGCGAGUGAAGCGGUAAAAGCUCAAAUUUGAAAUCUGGUACUUUCAGUGCCCGAGUUGUAAUUUGUAGAAUUUGUCUUUGAUUAGGUCCUUGUCUAUGUUCCUUGGAACAGGACGUCAUAGAGGGUGAGAAUCCCGUUUGGCGAGGAUACCUUUUUCUGUAAGACUUUUUCGAAGAGUCGAGUUGUUUGGGAAUGCAGCUCAAAGUGGGUGGUAAAUUCCAUCUAAAGCUAAAUAUUGGCGAGAGACCGAUAGCGAACAAGUACAGUGAUGGAAAGAUGAAAAGAACUUUGAAAAGAGAGUGAAAAAGUACGUGAAAUUGUUGAAAGGGAAGGGCAUUUGAUCAGACAUGGUGUUUUUUGCAUGCACUCGCCUCUCGUGGGCUUGGGCCUCUCAAAAAUUUCACUGGGCCAACAUCAAUUCUGGCAGUAGGAUAAAUCAUUAAGAAUGUAGCUACCUCGGUAGUGUUAUAGCUUAUUGGAAUACUGCUAGCUGGGUA